CGCUUCUAAAGGAUAAUAGCUCAUCCAUUGGUCUUAGGAACCAAAAACUCUUGGUGCAAAUCCAAGUAGAAGC
rnacentral:tRNA from 1 species